rnacentral:lncRNA from 10 species
GACGGAGUCUUACUCUGUCGCCCAGGCAGGAGUGCAAUGGCACAAUCUUGGCUCACCACAACCUCCGCCUCCUGGGUUCAAGUGACUCUCCUGCCUGGCCAUAGAAGCAAACACAAACAUAGAGGAAUUGGCUUUGGGCAGAUGGAAGGACCUCAGAGAAAAGAAACAAAGGAAAGAAAACUGGAUGGAUAAAGGUUUGUAGAAAUACUAUUCACAGGAAGCAAAUAGGAAUUCCUUAUCGCUAAACAGACACUAAGUCAAUUGGUAAAGAUCUUGCCAGCUGGUGCCUGGGUGCAUAGACUGCCUAUGGCUCUUGAAUUGCAUGCUGAAAACUUCAUAAUGAAACCAGAAAAUCACAGAAGCAUAAACACAGCUGCUUAUGC